UACGAAGGGGGCUAGCGUUGCUCGGAAUCACUGGGCGUAAAGGGCGCGUAGGCGGUCUUUUAAGUCGGGGGUGAAAGCCUGUGGCUCAACCACAGAAUUGCCUUCGAUACUGGGAGACUUGAGACCGGAAGAGGACAGCGGAACUGCGAGUGUAGAGGUGAAAUUCGUAGAUAUUCGCAAGAACACCAGUGGCGAAGGCGGCUGUCUGGUCCGGUUCUGACGCUGAGGCGCGAAAGCGUGGGGAGCAAACAGG
rnacentral:rRNA from 1 species